rnacentral:lncRNA from 1 species
UGAAAACCUUUUAAUUUUUUCUGAAAGCUUUAAAAAUAUUUAUGUAGUCAAAUUCAUCAACUAAUUCUUUGUGUUCUCAUAUUGCUUCAGAGUUGGUGAAAUACACAAAGCCCUGUAACACUUUAACUUAGUCUUUUAAGCUGUGUGGAGAUCACUGUGGAGAAGGAUGCUAGCUUUGUAUGUCUUACGUAUUUUAUCCCGUAUUAAUAGUACAGGUUUUAUCAGUAUUUGUUGCUUUCCAGUUUGUCUAAUUUCACGUGCGUUUUCAUAUUCAGUUUAGAGGUGUUUACCUGUGUCUUUCUGGAAUCUACUUGUUUCAUUGAUCUACUUUAUUAUUUUUAACUAUAACCUAGUAUCGUAAGGCUUUUUACUCUUGUUAUGCCCAGAUAUUUGCCUUUAACUUCUUUACAGGGCCCUCCUUGAAUCCCUGUCCAUUUUCCUGCUCUGGUGGAGUGGGUUGGCCAAGCUAAAACUUGCGUGUCAUUAGGAUGCCUUUUCUUCCCUUGUCCCCACUCUCAGGACUCAGAGCCUGUCUGGCUUCCUGCUCCAGGCUCUUGUGCCUGGCCUUGGUUCUGGUAGCUCUCCAGAGUGAGGAUGCCUCUCAGGUUGAACUCUUAACCCACAAGCCUUGCACGAUAGGGAUGGACCCACACCCUUGGCAGUG